UACGUAGGGGGCAAGCGUUGUCCGGAUUUAUUGGGCGUAAAGAGCUUGUAGGCGGUUUGUCGCGUCUGCCGUGAAAAUUCGAGGCUCAACCUCGAACUUGCGGUGGGUACGGGCAGACUAGAGUGUGGUAGGGGAGACUGGAAUUCCUGGUGUAGCGGUGAAAUGCGCAGAUAUCAGGAGGAACACCGAUGGCGAAGGCAGGUCUCUGGGCCACUACUGACGCUGAGAAGCGAAAGCAUGGGGAGCGAACAGG
rnacentral:rRNA from 1 species